AUCCUCAUUCCAAUUUCCUUUCAGCAAAGGUGCUACACUUAAAAAUCAAAGCAAAAUUUGCCCCGAAGACGCCCCUGAGCAAUACUAUUAAUUAAGCUCUGCUCAGAAUCGUUUUUUGUUAGUAAUGUUUAAAUUUACUUAAGUACUGAUAUACCUUAGAUUUCCCUCAAUAUUCUCCUUUCUCAACUUCUCAUCUACAAUAGUGGUCCACCCAUCAUGCGAAGUAUGUCCGUCUUUUUUUCUUAUCAAUCAUUAAUAUAAAAUUUAAUUAUUUCAUCCCUCCCACCUCCAUAGUCAAGGUCUGGAGACGCCCCUGUUGUAAGACAGCUUUUUUAUUUUGCGUUGAAAUUGUCUCGUCUAAAUGUGAUGUCAACAGGUAGGUAACAGGUAAUAGGUAACAGUCAUUGACCACA